rnacentral:tRNA from 1 species
UCAAAAAGAGGAUAAACCUUUAGUAUUAAUGUAAAUAAUAAACUUUAAUUAAUAAGAUACAUUUUG